AUUUGAUGGUACAACUCAAAGGCCACCCUCUUUGUGAAGCCUCCCGUGACUAAAAAUACUCAUUCUGGAAAUGAAAAUAGAAAGCACGACAUCAUGCCCACCCUCCUAGAAGUGAAAGUAGAAAGCCUGCCAUCAUACACAUCAUCCCUCCUCAGUAAAGCAAACAUUACACAUACAAAGCCCUACAAAGCUUAUGGCUGAAAGGAGGAAAAGUAAAUGAGGCUGAAGAGAGUAUUUUGCUUAGUAAGGCAGGAGAACAGAUUGCUUUCAAGAGUUUUAAUCCCAUGAGGCGUGCGAUUAUCUCAUGUGAUCCUCAUAACAACCCUCGGAGGACCAAGAAAUGACAACGAGUGUUCUCUCUAUCCGAAGCAAAGGAGGAGGAAAAAUACUACACAGACAACAAAUUUAUCUUGCUUGCUUAGGAAACUUGGAGUAUGAUAACUACAAACACCCCAGACCUCAGGAGCAAAACAGCAGGAAAUAAAAUCAGGAUGGAAGAGGCAAAAUGUUGCCACAUGGACUCCCAGAAAUGUCCAGCCCCUUUCCAAGAACAGCCUCCUACAAGCUAGAGAUACAAUAAUGAAUACUGCACGUGAACAUUCUUUUUGCUUCCUGAUCUUUUUGAAGAUUUCAAAAAGUAGAAGUUUCCCUUACCACCGGAACACACUGCUGGGAGAAAAGGCUAUUCAUCUCCACCAGGAGCGUGGACUCCACCGCCUGAUGGAUGGUUUUUGCCUCAUUCUGCGGGGCCACUUUCAGGCCUUCUCCAAGCCAUGCUAUGCAGCCUCUCUGCAGACCACCGCCUCCUCAGUGUCUUGACUUCAAGGUCUGUUCAAAGUAUGGAAAAUUUUUUCAAAUAUACAUCUGGAGAAAAUUAGCAAAGACAAUGGCGCUUCUCAUACUUUUCACAGAAAAUGAGGCAGUAAAGAAUUACCAAAGUAAGCCUUUGAGAAUCUAUAUUUGA
rnacentral:lncRNA from 1 species